CUUGGGCAUGGCAGUUGCUCUCUUUUUCUUACUGCAAAUUAAAUUCCUACAACAUCUGGGCCACAGGUGCAUUGUAUGGAUUAGCAUUUGGAAGAUGCCCUCUCUGCACAGAUUCCAGGCUCUUGGAUCUGGAGUCAGAAACCCCUUUAACAGCAGAUAACAAAAAUAUUUCAGAGCAUGGGACAAUAAUCACCAGUGAAGAACGAGG